GGAUCCCGUUUUGCCAUCAGGAAAAGCCGCGGGUGCAGUCAGGGGGCGGAGUCUUUGAUCACGUCGGGACUGUCUGUAAAACACACAGCAAAGUUUAGCGCAUACACACUGAGAGCCUCCUCUCCCUUGUGAGCGGAGUAUCGCCCCUUUUAUACUCUCCCGUCGGCUGCUGGAUGGUGGAAUUUUUCCGUGCCGCGGGCCAUUCAGCACUGUGUGUGUGUCGGCGGCCCCGCCACGCGCUCUCCGGCUGUCCAAAACAUUGGUGGUGCUGAAGCAGAGCUGUCUCUUCAGCAUCACAGCGGCAGUCGCGAUCUUUGUUCCUUGUGCGUCGGCCACAGGCCUGUCACCACACCAGGUAUUUAAAAAUAACUGGUGGUCAAAAACAUAUUAAAAAAUACAUGCAACUGAUACAUUUCCUUCGUAGUCGUUAAAUAUACAUUUUCACUCUUGUUUUCAGCAAAAGAAGCUUUUGAGGAACGUCUAACCCCUAUAAUUAUAGACAACACCAAUUUGCAGUGCUGGGAGAUGAAGCCCUAUGUUGCAUUGGCACAGAAGCAUAAAUACAGAGUGCUGUUCCGUGAGCCAAACACCUGGUGGAAAACCAAAGCCAGAGAGUUGGAAAAGUAUAGCAGAAAACACAGCAUAUAAAACUACAUCAUAAACAGUAAAAUAUAUAGUAACCAGACAAAACUCGAGAAACACGGACAACUAGACAAGAAGGUUUAUCUAAGUUAGUCUAUAUACACUCAUCGUCCACUUUAUUUAAGUGGCUAUCCUUUAUCUAGAUGUAUCCUAUAAUGCUGGGUUGUAUAUUUAUCAUACCAUGAAGUUUUCUUGCCUUUCAAACUGGUCUUUGAUCUUAACCUAGUUAAUGUCAAAGCGCAUUAGAGCAUCCACAAAGCUUUUGCUUUACAGGUUCCAGGGACGUUGUGGGGUCAAUAUAGGUUAAAAUAUUGUUCAAUAUUAGUGAAGUAAUAGUGGCGAAUCAACGUUUCAAAGUAUUAUUGUCC
ensembl:lncRNA